UUAUUUACAUGUAGCUGUAACGGAAACUUCUUGUACACCACUAAUCAAAUUGGUCUUUGUCAGCUCGCGUUCAACUCGGCACCAUGCCCAAAAUGUGGAUAUGAACGUUCCAUCAUUCCAUCAAAGUAGAUAGCUUGGGUAGGAUCAAAAUCCGGAUAAACUUUUUAUGAGGACUGUAAUGAUAAAGGAAAGGAGGGAUGAAUAUGUAAAAACAAUAUGGUUUUUCAGGAUGAGCGUAGCCUCGGCAGUUACAGUUAUAUAACUCAUACAUAAUAACACGAUUUGUAGUAAUAUAGGAUGAUUUUUAUGAGACAAUUCUUGUCAAAGUGGAAUCAAGAAUAAAAGUUGAGUAUUUUUAAUAAUGUAAUGGAAAUGAGUUCAGUAAAUAUUUGGAGUGGCACCACCUUUAACUGCGCAACCUCAUCGGUGGGAUUUUACGAUUCUUAGUCGAUAUAAACAACUUAUUUUCUUCAUGAUGGUACCUGCUAAAUUUAUAUGCCACGUGGCAUAAUGUGUUUCUCAAUACAUAAAUAAGAAAAAUUGUUCAAAUAAAAUGGGAACUUAAACUUACUGCAUUGACAUAUACAUGACAUAUAAACUUCAAUAAAGAUUUCUACAUAAUUCUA
rnacentral:lncRNA from 1 species